AUCAAGAAUUGGACACUCAACUUACUGAGCCACCCAGGUGCCCUUAAAAUUUUUUUUAAAUGCUGUUGGGGACACCUGAGGUCUUUAUGCCCAAGAAAUUUAUAAUCAACAGGAUGCUACAGGACAAACCAUAAACAAACAAACAACUGACAAAAAAUUACACAGGAAACUAAGGGUCCUGAUGACAGGAAUUCAAAAGAGGAAGACAGAAGUAGGUACUGAAGGAGUAAAGCAGGGUUUUGCUGCUGCCAGCAUGAAAGUAGCUGAAUGACCCCACACACCCACCGGCACUGGACAUGAUGUCUGAAGGUGGUAAUGUCGAUGUCCAAGUUCCCAGAGGAAAUACUCUUCCUUCUAUGUUCCUGUUGAAAGGUCUCCUCAUUGUACACAUCUCGCUUGACAUCAUAUGUGAAAGAAUUUUGCCUAUAUUUAUAGCCAAAACUCUGGGCACUCCUCUCUGGUUGCAUCAUUCCUGGUUGAGUGGGAAGAGAUCAAACAAAAAACAAUUUAUUUUAUAUAUUUUUUAAACAAAAAACAAAUUAAAAAA